AUACGGAGGGGGUUAGCGUUGUUCGGAAUUACUGGGCGUAAAGCGCACGUAGGCGGACUGGAAAGUAUGGGGUGAAAUCCCAGGGCUCAACCCUGGAACUGCCUCAUAAACUCCUGGUCUUGAGUUCGAGAGAGGUGAGUGGAAUUCCGAGUGUAGAGGUGAAAUUCGUAGAUAUUCGGAGGAACACCAGUGGCGAAGGCGGCUCACUGGCUCGAUACUGACGCUGAGGUACGAAAGUGUGGGGAGCAAACAGGAUUAGAAACCCUAGUAGUCC
rnacentral:rRNA from 1 species